rnacentral:rRNA from 1 species
UACGUAGGGUGCAAGCGUUGUCCGGAAUUAUUGGGCGUAAAGAGCUCGUAGGCGGUUUGUUGCGUCGGCUGUGAAAUCCCGAGGCUCAACCUCGGGUCUGCAGUCGAUACGAGCAAACUAGAGUGUUGCAGGGGAGACUGGAAUUCCUGGAGUAGCGGUGAAAUGCGCAGAUAUCAGGAGGAACACCGGUGGCGAAGGCGGGUCUCUGGGCAACAACUGACGCUGAGGAGCGAAAGCGUGGGGAGCGAACAGG